GAAGCUCCACCCCUGGCUCCGCUGCAGCCUUCCGAUUGGAGAGCCUGAGAACCUGCACAGCCAAUCAUAGCAAACUGCAGAGCGCGGGUUGGGAGGGGCUAAGGGGGAAGGAGCCGCCCUCAACUCCCCUGGAAUCUGCCCACCCCGCCGCGCCCCUUCGGGCUUUUGGGAGCCACUGAGUUUCGGCAGUCUAAAGGGCGGGGCUGGCUGGAUCCUGGGUCUGUUCCCUGGUGCGACCUCUUCGAGGACAGGAAGAAUCGAGAAGGAUUCCCAAGAGCUUGGAGGGUAUGCAGACUUUUCUAGUCUGUGCAGCCAUUUGCAUCUUACAAAAAAGGCUCAGAGCUCUCCAUCACCAUCAGGAAGAAGAGGAAGCUGCAGGCACUUGGUGCCUGACUCUUGAGUCCAGCUCUCUCAAGAUUGCUGUCACAGCCCACAAAUGUGCAGAGCUUUGCAGUCUGUAGCUUGCAGGGAACUUUGUAUGUAAUAUCUCCAUUGAUUCACCUGGCCACAGUGGGAAAUGAAAAUUAUUGUUCCCCCAUUUCCAGGUGAGAAAGCCUCAAAACUAUAAUACAUCCAUUGAGUUAUAAUGAGAUUCAAAGACUCACAACUAAUAUGUAUCUGCUGGACCUUGCUAUUGUGCUGGGUUAUGUUAGAUGCAAAGAUAAACAGGUUUUAGGUUCUUAGGAAUGUAAUGCAUAUAUUUUCUCAGCCCUUUAUAAAAGAUUCCAGGGUGUGGGGAUUCGGAGAAAUGUUGUGGGACUCAGAGGCAGAAGUAAAGGGAAUUUCUAGAAGUUCUGGGGAAGCUUCUGGAGGAGGGAAUAUUUAAAUUGGGGUUGAGCCAGCCCAGGGGCACCCAUCUGUAAUACCAGUAGCUCAAGAGGUUGAGACAGGAGGAUUGUGAGUUCAAAGCCAGCCUCAGCAACUCAGCGAGACCCUGUCUCUAAAUAAAAUACAACAUAGGGCUGGGGAUGGGGCUCAGCGGUAGAGUGCCGCUGAGUUCAAUCCUGGUAUCUCCCCCCAAAAAAAUUUAAAUUGGGGUUGAAAGCCAUAGAUUUGAACAGGUGGGGAUGGAGAGAUGCCCCCCUGCCCCAUGUCCUUUCCCAAUAUCCUGGGGUUGCCCUUUUAUCACAACCCACCUACUAGACUUUAUGCACCUAAUAGACAUUUAGCAUUUUUUAAUUCAGUGCUAGGGACUGAGUGCAGGUUCUUGCACAUGCUAGGCACUUUUCCACUGAGCUCCAUCACCAGCCCGACACUCAACAUUUGAAUAAAUGAGUAGAAAAAUGAGUGUCUCAGAGGCAGGAUGGGGCCAGGUUAUGGGUGACCUUGGUGAUCAAGAGUCUCUCUUCCAGCUAAGUUGUGGAGGGUCACAAUGUAGGUUGAUGCCUUGUAUGAUUAGGAUGUAGCCAUGAGACAUAUUUUUCUCUUGUUGCAAUGGUCUUGGCAUUCUGCAUUGAGUGCUUAGUCCUGGACUUUGGGGAUGAUGCAUAGGAACCCUUAAUUGGUGAGUUUUUUGUUGUUAUUGUUGUUGUUGUUGUUUUUAACUUUAGUACUGAAGUUUGAACCCAGGGGCGUUUUACCACCAAACUACAUCCCCAGCCCUUUUAACAUUUUUUUUUUUCUUUUGAGACAGACUCACACUCAGUUAUUUUGGAUCUCACUAAAUCACUAAUUUGAGGCUGGCCUCCAAUUUACAAUUCUGUCUUAGUUUCCUGGGUUGCUGAGAUUACCACUACACCUAGCCAAUUGGUGAGAUCUUUAGAAAUUGUGCAGCCUGGGAGCUAGAAUCACAAUCCUUUGACCAAACUGCUUGGCUAGAUUUUUUUUUUUUUUCCUUCUUGCAGUGUUGCUGAUUGAACCCAGGGCUUCACCCAUGUCAUGCAAGGCACUCUGCCACAGAGCUAUAUCCUUAGUCCCUUGACUAGAUUUUGAAAUAUUCUCAAAGGGUACUGGGUACAGGAGACAUUUGUUACCUCCAAGUUCUUAUUAGGCUUAAAGGACACCUUUAUGCUCUGGUCUUACUCAGGUCCAUGCCUCUGUGGGCAGGUGAAGACAGGUAGAAUCCCUGAGGAUAGCUGUGGUGGUUUCCAUUUUGUAGAUGAGAACCAAGACCUGCAAGAAGCUCAGUGGAAGCCAGGUGUGGUGGGCACGCCUGUAAUCCUAGCAGCUAGGGAGGCUGAGGCAAGAGGCUCCAAGUUGGAGGCCAGCCUCAGCAAUUUAGCAAGUCCCAAGCAACUUAGUGAGACCCUGUUUCAAAAUAAAAUAUAAAAAGGGGUGGGGAUGUGGUCUUGUGGUAAAACUCCUCUGGAUUCCGUCACUUAUACCUAAAUAAAUAAAGAGGAAAGAAAAAGGAACAGGUGAGUGGGUGCCAAACCUCACCCUAGGGAAAGGCAGAACUGGGGUCCGUGCCUCCGUAGAGGCCCCUUUCAUGGCCUCAUACUGCCCUCUAGGAAGCCCUCAAGGGCAACUUUAGCCUGUCUGGGGAAACAGAGUCCCUGGGCUGCAUUUUCCAUGGCGGGUUGUUCAGAGGGGAGAGACAGCCAGCCCCAUUACUGGCCUGAUGGCCUCUGCCUUUCCAAAGCAGCCAUCCAUCCUGCCUGGUUGGGUCCAGCCCAGCAGCUUCCGGGACAACUCUUGGGCAUCUGGCCAGCCUGCUCAGCACCUUCUCUCCUAGUCUCUGUCUCGAGCAAUCUGUCUUCCUGUCUGUCCCUCCGU